GGCACUAUCGUCUACCUGGUUAGGACGCCACUCUUUCAAGGUGGAAAAACGAGUUCGAAUCUCGUUAGUGCUGCUCA
rnacentral:tRNA from 1 species